CCUACGGGUGGCAGCAGUGAGGAAUAUUGGUCAAUGGGCGCGAGCCUGAACCAGCCAAGUCGCGUGAAGGAUGACUGCCCUAUGAGUUGUAAACUUCUUUUAUAAGGGGAUAAAGUGCUACACGUGUGACUGGUUGAAAGUAACUUAUGAAUAAGGAUCGGCUAACUCCGUGCCAGCAGCCGCGGUAAUACGGAGGAUCCGAGCGUUAUCCGGAUGUAUUGGUUUUAAAGGGUGCGGAGGCGGUUUGUUAAGUUAGUGGUGAAAGUUUGGGGCUCAACCACGAAACUGCUUCUGAUACUGUUGGACUUGAGAACAGUUGCGGUAGGCGGAAUUCGUGGUGUAGCGGUGAAAUGCUUAGAGAUCACAAAGAACUCCGAUUGCGAAGGCAGCUUACCAAACUACAUCUGACGUUGAGGCACGAAAGCGUGGGUAUCAAACAGGAUUAGAUACCCUAGUAGUC
rnacentral:rRNA from 1 species